rnacentral:rRNA from 1 species
GUGUUGCCAGCACGUAAUGGUGGGGACUCGCAGGAGACUGCCGGGGUCAACUCGGAGGAAGGUGGGGACGACGUCAAUUCAUCAUGCCCCUUAUGUCCAGGGCUUCACACAUGCUACAAUGGCCGGUACAGAGGGCUGCGAUACCGUGAGGUGGAGCGAAUCCCUUAAAGCCGGUCUCAGUUCGGAUCGGGGUCUGCAACUCGACCCCGUGAAGUUGGAGUCGCUAGUAAUCGCAGAUCAGCAACGCUGCGGUGAAUACGUUCCCGGGCCUUGUACACACCGCCCGUCACGUCAUGAAAGUCGGUAACACCCGAAGCCGGUGGCCUAACCCUUGUGGAGGGAGCCGUCAAAGGUGGGAUUGGCGAUUGGGAC